AGUGAACGCUGGCGGUAGGCCUAACACAUGCAAGUCGAACGGCAGCACAGUAAGAGCUUGCUCUUACGGGUGGCGAGUGGCGGACGGGUGAGGAAUACAUCGGAAUCUACUUUUUCGUGGGGGAUAACGUAGGGAAACUUACGCUAAUACCGCAUACGACCUACGGGUGAAAGCAGGGGAUCUUCGGACCUUGCGCGAUUGAAUGAGCCGAUGUCGGAUUAGCUAGUUGGCGGGGUAAAGGCCCACCAAGGCGACGAUCCGUAGCUGGUCUGAGAGGAUGAGCAGGCAAACUGGAACUGAGACACGGUCCAGACUCCUACGGGAGGCAGCAGUGGGGAAUAUUGGACAAUGGGCGCAAGCCUGAUCCAGCCAUACCGGGUGGGUGAAGAAGGCCUUCGGGUUGGAAAGCCCUUUUGUUGGGAAAGAAAAGCAGCAGGUUAAAAACCCGCUGGUCUGACGGUAACCAAAGAAUAAGCACCGGCUAACUUCGUG
rnacentral:rRNA from 1 species